AUACUUACCUGGGUCGUGUGUCUGGUGAUCAAGAAGACUGGACGCACAGCGGGGCUGACUGUCAUUGCACAGCGAUGGUUGGCACUGCUGCGAACGCCCUUCGGGGUGUCUCGAGACCACAAUUUUUGCUUAAGGGAGUAAUAGCUUGCUAUUGACUCCCU
rnacentral:snRNA from 1 species